GUGCUCGCUUUGGCAACACACAUACUAAAAAUUGGAAUAAUACAAAGAAAAUUAGCAUAGUCCCUGUGAAAGGAUGACAGGUAAAUUCGUGAAGCAUUCCAUAUUUUU